UACGUAGGGGGGCAAGCGUUGUCCGGAUUUAUUGGGCGUAAAGAGUGUGUAGGCGGCUAGGUAGGUCCGUUGUGAAAACUCGAGGCUCAACCUCGAGACGUCGAUGGAAACCAUCUAGCUAGAGUCCGGAAGAGGAGAGUGGAAUUCCUGGUGUAGCGGUGAAAUGCGCAGAUAUCAGGAAGAACACCCGUGGCGAAGGCGGCUCUCUGGUACGUGACUGACGCUGAGACGCGAAAGCGCGGGGAGCGAACGGG
rnacentral:rRNA from 1 species